rnacentral:rRNA from 1 species
UGGAAUUCCACGUGUAGCGGUGAAAUGCGUAGAGAUGUGGAGGAACACCAGUGGCGAAGGCGACUCUCUGGUCUGUAACUGACGCUGAGGAGCGAAAGCGUGGGGAGCGAACAGGAUUAGAUACCCUGGUAGUCCACGCCGUAAACGAUGAGUGCUAAGUGUUAGGGGGUUUCCGCCCCUUAGUGCUGCAGCUAACGCAUUAAGCACUCCGCCUGGGGAGUACGGUCGCAAGACUGAAACUCAAAGGAAUUGACGGGGGCCCGCACAAGCGGUGGAGCAUGUGGUUUAAUUCGAAGCAACGCGAAGAACCUUACCAGGUCUUGACAUCCUCUGACAAUCCUAGAGAUAGGACGUCCCCUUCGGGGGCAGAGUGACAGGUGGUGCAUGGUUGUCGUCAGCUCGUGUCGUGAGAUGUUGGGUUAAGUCCCGCAACGAGCGCAACCCUUGAUCUUAGUUGCCAGCAUUCAGUUGGGCACUCUAAGGUGACUGCCGGUGACAAACCGGAGGAAGGUGGGGAUGACGUCAAAUCAUCAUGCCCCUUAUGACCUGGGCUACCGACGUGCUACAAUGGGCAGAACAAAGGGCAGCGAAACCGCGAGGUUAAGCCAAUCCCACAAAUCUGUUCUCAGUUCGGAUCGCAGUCUGCAACUCGACUGCGUGAAGCUGGAAUCGCUAGUAAUCGCGGAUCAGCAUGCCGCGGUGAAUACGUUCCC